rfam:Canis lupus familiaris chromosome 13, whole genome shotgun sequence.
AAAGUAUCCUAUGCGACGGCCAUGGAUUGGUUCAUAGCUGUCUGCUUUGCUUUC